AUACAGCUGACAGGUCUCAAACAGGACGAAACGCGCGUCCUGGAU
rnacentral:hammerhead_ribozyme from 1 species